UUGCGCAAGUGCUAUUUAUCUGAGCAAUAUUCGCAAUCCUCUGCUCCGCCGCCUCCCGUAUCGUUACCAACAGAAUCACUGCCCGGACAACAGUCCACGGCGACCGGCCUCAGGAAGGCCGUCGCGGCCAGCCAUCCAACAGGAUCCGCCAGGCCCCCGGGCUACGCACCGUCCAGAAGACGAUGUGAGGUGAGCCGACGCCACAAGCGCCGAGCACGGACGACAAUUCCCAAAGGGAGGCCAUGGCCUCCCU
rnacentral:sRNA from 1 species